GGCGGAACGGGUUGGGCCCUGCUUACUACUAUUUCGGCUUCUGCUCUGUGUGAGUGUGGGUCGGGUAUCCUCCUCGCCAACUGCAGAGGAAAGAGGAGAGACGGAGAGACGGAGUACGCGGCGGCGAAGACGAUGGCGACGGGAGGGAAGGGGCUGAACGCGACGGGCGAGUUUUUCCGGCGCCGUGACGGAUGGAGGAAGCACCCUAUGGUGGGGAACCAGCUGCGCCACGCCACUCCGGGGCUCGGCAUCGCCAUCGUCGCCUUUGGGAUCUACCUCGUCGGGGAGGCCGCCUACAACCGCCUCUACCACCCCGCCGUGACCGGCGACAACCGCCACUAGAUCGCCCCCAGAGGUAACCGGCCCGUGUGGUCUUCACUUUUUUCCGAGUCAAACAAUAAUGUGUGAAUUUGGGUUGAUUUCAAUCAGGCUGUAAGGGUUGCUGGGGGCGUUUCGCCUAGAUCUGUCCAUUGGGGACUGACUGUGUGGUACUGUCUUCUUUGGAACGGAUUAUGGAAUUUACAUGUUGGAAAUAAACUGCAGCUCUGAUUCGACCAAGUUGUUUGUGAUUAUUAUGUGCUUGUGGCAUAGUUGAUGUUAUAAUUUGCAAAAGAAUGGACCGAAAUGCAUCGCCUGCACGCAUAACGAUUCAUUAAUUGAUUAUAGUUAGUUUCUGCCCAGCAUAUGGUGAUUCUGAUCACCAGUCUGAGUUGCAUGUAUGGCAACCGCACAUCAAUAGCUACUAUAGCCAUGCCGUGCUUCGCUUGUAGGCAGCUCAGUGUAUGUAUGAAUUUGUUUUACCUGCUUUUGUUGUUUCUUUGAUUUAUUUUUUUGUCUUUUUUAUAUUCGAAGGAGUUCUGUAAAUUUAAGAUAUGC
rnacentral:rRNA from 1 species